CAAAUUCCAAAAUGACAAGUAAAAUUCGCCCGCUCCAAAUGUGUGCGCGGUUAUUACUUUUUUCCGCCAUUGUGUAGUUGCCUGUUGAAAGACUUGCAUUGCAUUAUUAAAGUAUUUUUUCUACAUAGAGUAUCAUCGUGUAUGUGCGGAAGAAAAUAAGCGUUGGAUUUGCAAAAAAGCCGUCAAACUAGAAAAAAUUUCCAGAAAAAACUGCGGUGGAAGUUUUCGGGGCUCCAUUGACACAUAAGGAAAUUGUGGAGGAGUUUUGCGAGUUAGCGAAUAGUUUAUCGUGAAAAAUUUCCGGCUCCUAACCAGCCAAACGAACUCGAACCGAACAAUGCUUACUCAAGUCGCUAGAAUCAACCGAUCUCAACAAACUAAUUGUCAGUAAUAUCCCUAAGCUAAUGGAAAACGGAACCACCGCCGUAACCGCUACCUUGGACUUUUUGGAAACUUCCAUGCGCUACUACCUGGAUUCGAGUGGUCCAUCAAAAAAUCGUAUCGAAGAAUAUCUCCUUUUGGUACAGAAAAAAUCGAAGAUCCCCCCGUUGUGGACCGGACCGGCACAUGCGUUUGCUUUUAUUACAGCAAGGGGGCGGGGACCAACACGGCUGAAAAGGAUGUCUCUUGCAGUUGUCUAUGAACUGGACGACGAUGAGCAUGAAGUGAACCUCAAAGCUGGAGAGCUGCACAAUGAUGAAGUUGAAAUAGUACCGGAAACGGGAAAUAGUGUCUCUGAAAAAAAUUCGUAGCAAGGUAAAAGAUCACAGCGAAUAUCGAGUCGAGCGACAACGACAUGCAGAUGUUGAACGAAUCAGACCUGGAAACAUAAACAGUCGAAACGAUCGUUAAACCGAUGCUGUGUUCAAAAACGUAGAUCGGAAGCAGGACCACAGGCUGAUGAUUCUGAAGCACGAGAAAGGCAUCCAAAAGUUAUGGAUCGCAUCGUUUGCGAGUUAAGUUUUGAUGAUAUCGAAUUAAUAGACCGCUAUUGCCAUGCUUGUCUGAUAAUCGCCUGCUACAAGGGCCAGUACAAAUUCGCGCAAUACCUGCUCUUGCUUAAUACAGACUGAACCGACGCAGCGGUUGCAUCGAAUUUGGUUCGCUAAAAAUCCUCCAACUACCGAGUCAAUACGGUGCUAAAUUGAAUGUACAACACUUCUCCUGGCGGAUGUGACUAGACCUCCCGGUCUUGGAACACCCUACUAUAUGUGACUCGGGAAAAGGAAUUCGCAGCUUGGUGCACCUAACGUGUAUAAGAAACGUGUUGGUUUAUGCUCGUUUUGGAAACGAGCGAAGAAUGCCGGUUAUUACUCUGCGAGAACAACGAUCUCACCGCGCUGGUAGAACUGGUGAUACACCCAGACGAGGCUGUAGGCGUUGCUUAUACGCUGAUUCUCGGGCCAGUCUAUCAACCCGUAUACUAGCUACUAUAUUCGCUUCCAACCUACUGCAUGUACAGACUCAGGUCGUUGCGACCGGUGUGUCAAAUUUCGGACGUACGCACUGUCGAUGUUGCAAUCAUACUGUUCAGUCGCAUAUAAGAAUCAACUUUAACAAAAAUACUCGCCAUCGGAACUUUUUCACUUGCUUCGUCGGAUACUGCUACUGUGUACUACUAUCAGCACCAUUAGUUAGACCAUUGCUAUAAAAAUUUAAUAAUGUAUUAUUCACAUUAAUUUUGUUCUAUGCUAUGAGUAAAAAAAUAAAACAUA